rnacentral:rRNA from 1 species
UGUAAGCGUAUACCAAAGUUGUUGCAGUUAAAGCGCUCGUAGUCGGAAUUUGGCAGUUCCGGAUGUGUGCACGUCGUGUGCGCACUUCGCGGGGAUUGCUUUUGUGGUCUUGCGUAGGAUGAGGCACUUUUAUUAGUGAACGUCCUCACGCAACCACUUUUUACUGUGAGAAAAUCAGAGUGCUCAAAGCAGGCAUUUGCCGUGAAUGUAUUAGCAUGGAAUAAUAGAAUAGGACUCGGUUCUAUUUUGUUGGUUUGUUGGGACUGAGUAAUGAUUAAGAGGGACAGUUGGGGGCAUUUGUAUUUCGGCGCUAGAGGUGAAAUUCUUAGAUUGCCGAAAGACAAACUGCUGCGAAAGCGUCUGCCAAGGAUGUUUUCAUUGA